ACAAACUUAACAUGAGCCAGCAGUGUGCUCUUGCAGCUCAGAAAGCAAAUGGUAUCCUGGGCUCCAUCAUGAGAGGGGUGGCCAGCAGGGACAGGGAGGUGAUUGUCCCUCUCUACUCUGCUCUUGUGAGGCCCCAUCUGGAGUACUGUGUCCAGGUCUGGAGCCCCCAGUACAAGAAAGACAGAGAGCUGUUGGAGAGGGUCCAGAGGAGGGCUACAAAGAUGAUCAGGGGGCUGGAGCACCUCCCCUACCAGGACAGGCUUAGGGAGCUGGGCUUAUUCAGCCUGGAGAAGAGAAGGCUGCGGGAUGACCUCAUUGCAGCCUUUCAGUACCUGAAGGGAGCCUAUAAACAGGAAGGGAGUAAACUCUUUGAAAGGGUAGAUAACAGCAGGACAAGGGGGAACGGUUUUAUGUUGAAAGAGGGAAGAUUUAGGUUGGAUGUUAGGGGGAAGUUCUUUACCAGGAGAGUGGUGAGGUGCUGGAACGGGCUGCCCAGAGAGGUUGUAGAUGUCCCGUCCCUAGAGGAGUUCAAGGCCAGGUUGGAUGGGGCCCUGGGCAACCUGGUCUAGUAAAUGGGGAGGUUGGUGGCCCUGCCCGGCAGGGGGGUUGGAGAUUCAUGAUCCUUGAGGUCCCUUCCAACCCAGGCCAUUCUGUGACUCUGUGAUUCUGCGAUUUCUUCAUUUUUGAAGUACAGUCAGUCUUUGUUUUGUUGUUGGGAUGCUUUGGUUGGAAUCCUGUGCUAAUUUCCAUUGUUUCUCUUUUGAUUUCUUAGAACAGUCCAGCAGGGAUGAGUGCUACUACGCCCUUUGUCCUGCUGCUCUCAGCCAUGAUUACAAGACCGGUCUCCAUCCUCCCAAGCUCUGCUUCAUCCCAUGCAGCACACAAGUCCCUUCUCUUCCACUUCAUCCCACUCAGUCCUGUUAGGUCAGCUUUCCCCUUUGCACAUGGAGCCUCUCACCACACACUCUCUCAGCGGUUCCCACUGAGCCCACCAGCCCUUCAGCAAUAUCACCUUCCUCAGUCCUUCCCUGCCACCCCGCUAAAUAUCCACCACUUCACAGUGCAGGCUGGCUGGGUGGUUUGUUGCUGAUACCUGGCUCCGAACGAAGGCAUCACUCUCAGAGUAUUUCCAGCACCAUCUGCCGCUUUCCUUUAUUUCAGUUUCUAGAAAGGGUUUUACUGUAGCAGAGAGGCAGCGGAGGAAUCUGGAUAUGGCUGACACAAAUCCCAGAAAACGUUUGUCUGUUUGCCUUACACGCUAAUUAGUGCCGACUUGGUCAAAAGUGCUCUGAACUUUUAUUUAUUUAUUUUUCUCCUUUCUCGAGCAUCUAUCACCAUGACAGCAACGCGCUCCAACCGCAGGAAAUUAAAACACCCGACACAAGCAGCUAAUCAAAUGCAGAAGCAAACAGAAGAAUUUUGCACAGAGCUCUCGGUGUCACUCCGAUCCCGCUUUGACGGGCAGCAGAGUUUCUGCGGGGAAAGAGAAAUGUUUUGUUUGCUUCAAAUUCCCUUUUCCCUUGGAAGCGUAAACGUGAAAUUACUCUCUCCUCCUCCGUUGGGAUGUCUUAUUUAUUUUCCUGCUGGUGGCUGUUAAAGGAGAUGCCGUUCAAUUAUGCCCUGGGUUGAAUUAAUGGCUCACACAGCUCAGUGUGCAUGUUCUGGUGUGGGCUUGCCCACGUGGAGGGGCUGGUGGGGCUUUCAUGGGGCAAGGGAAGGCCCUGCAGAAGAGCAGCUCCCUGCAGCCCUCUCGAAUCUCUGACAUAUGUUUGGUUGUAGGAUCCAGAGUAGACCUCACGUCUGGGCUGAGUGGAGCUUUUUAUUUUCUGACACGCUGCAUAUGUCCAUCCCAGUCUUCACCCUGUUAGAAACUUGAAUUAGAAAUCUGCUAUCUUCUCUUGAGUGCCAUUACUCAAUCACCAUCUUAUACUGGAGUCUUCAGAUGAUUUCUUUAGAGGAGCAGUGGAUUUUUACCACAAAUAACUUUUGGUUGAUUCCCCUUGCGCCUACAUUUGUUUUUGUUUGUAUACUUUGUUGACUGUUCAGGCACGUAAGUACACCCACCAAGGAGCAUCAUGAAGGACUUCUUUCUUCUGGCUUUCCUUAGCACUGAAAACUGGACUGCAUUUUUUUUUACAAGCGCUGAUAAAAUAUCUGCCAUACGAGUAAUGGAUCAUGCACAGCUUGAGGUCUUCCGUGCGCCCAGCAAAUCUCUGCAGCCCUCCCCAUCCAGGCAGACCUCAGCAGACCCACGAGUGCUCUUUGGCUCACCCCAAGGCUUUCUGGCCAGCAAACGCUGAAAGCUAUCGAACGUGGUUCCAUAGGGCACACUGAAGUACCCACAUGUACUGAAUGCUGGAGGUCAGAGGCAGGGAAAGGCAUCUCAUCCUGUCCCAAGUCUCAAAAUGCAGAGAAAGGAUGCUCCUACCUGGUGCGUGAGCAGAGGUUGCCCAUGGUCUGAGGAUCUCACUUGGUCUCGGCUGGUUCUGGCACAAAGUGAGCAAAGAGAGCUCGCCAAACUGCCAGUGCUGCCAUUCCACUCCCCUUGUUCCCUGUGCUGACUGUAGACUCGCAGAGCAAUCUGGGUUGGGAGGGACCUCAGGAUCACACCAGUCAAGUCCAGCGCCUCUUGGCCUACCCAGUGCCUCUUGACUCACACGGCGGCUUCUCCGCGAAGCUCUGGUUCAGCCCUGCUGACCCACCCUGCAGAGAGCUGCUCCAAGUUCAGACGGCAGAGCCCACACUUUGCCAGCUCUCUUGAACGUGGGAGCUCCAAAGAGUCCAUGCGAUACAGUAUCACAAGGAAAACAGUUCUGGUGCUCGGAAGGAAACAAUUCACCACGCAGCAAAACGAGUGGAUCGGCAGAUCACAAUUCAGACAAAAUGUUUUCUCAAGCAAGUGCCCGGGAAGUAAAAAUGAAAAGAUUUUUUUUUCUUUUCUUAACUAAUUAGAAGUUCCUCUGUGACUGGGAGUGGAGUGUUCAUCAGGACGUUACGGCCUCUUAAAAAUAAUCAAAAUGUUCCAGGAGCUACAGACCAAAGCCUCAGCAAGAUGCACCAUCUUCUUAGUGGAAAAGUGAAUUCCAGCCACUGCGAUACUCCAUCUGAUGAGAACACUUAGCUGUGAUGGGGUGAAAUAAAGUGCUUUAUUAUACUAAAGUGAGCCAUGCUGGGAGUGUUGGGAAUACGGUUAAUGCAAGUACAGGGAAAUUAUACAGCAUCCGCUUUGACUUUCUGAUUUCCUCUAAUGGACACGUGGCCCCCAGCCCAAGUGCUCAGGGAGCUCUGUGCCAUGCAGUUUCCCCAGAGAGCUCUGUGCCAUGCUGUUUCCCCAGUUA
ensembl:lncRNA